UGCAGUCGAGCGGUAACAGAUCCAGCUUGCUAGAUGCUGACGAGCGGCGGACGGGUGAGUAAUGCAUAGGAACCUGCCCAUUAGUGGGGGAUAGCCCGGGGAAACCCGGGUUAAUACCGCGUACGGCCUUCGGGCGAAAGCAGGCUAUCUUCCGACCUUGCGCUAUUGCCUGUGCCUAAUUCGGAUUAUGUAGUUGGUGGGGUAAAGGCUUACCACGGCGACUAUCUGUUCCUGGUCUGAGAGGAUGAUCAUCCGGAUCGAGACUGACACCGGCCCGAACUCCUACGGGAGGGGGCAAUGGGGAAUAUUGGAGGUGGGGGCAACCCUGAUCGCCCCGUGCCGCGUGAGUGACUACGGGUUUCGGGUUGCUUUCCACUUUCAGUGAGGAGGAAAACUUAGUACCUGCUACCCGUGACGUUUGACGUUAAUCAAACACCAAGCACCGGCUAACUCCGUGCCAGCAGCCGCGGUAAUACGGAAGGUGCAAUCGUUAUUCCGGAUUACUGGGCGCACACCGCGCGUUUGUGGUUUGAUAUGCGAGAUGUGAAGGCUCCGGCUGUAACGUGCGAUCGGCAUUGCCAAAUGACAGUCUUGAAUAUGGUAGAGGAAAUUGGAAUUUCCUGUGUAAC
rnacentral:rRNA from 1 species